AACGAACGCUGGCGGCAUGCCUAACACAUGCAAGUCGAACGAGACCUUCGGGUCUAGUGGCGCACGGGUGCGUAACGCGUGGGAACCUGCCCUUAGGUUCGGAAUAACUCCCCGAAAGGGGUGCUAAUACCGGAUAAUGUAUUCGGACAAAAGAUUUAUCGCCUUUGGAUGGGCCCGCGUUGGAUUAGCUAGUUGGUAGGGUAAAAGCCUACCAAGGCGACGAUCCAUAGCUGGUCUGAGAGGAUGAUCAGCCACACUGGGACUGAGACACGGCCCAGACUCCUACGGGAGGCAGCAGUGGGGAAUAUUGGACAAUGGGGGAAAGCCUGAUCCAGCAAUGCCGCGUGAGUGAUGAAGGCCUUAGGGUUGUAAAGCUCUUUUACCCGGGAUGAUAAUGACAGUACCGGGAGAAUAAGCACCGGCUAACUCCGUG
rnacentral:rRNA from 1 species